CGCCCAAGAUGGAGGAUGGCACCCUGC
rnacentral:piRNA from 1 species